rnacentral:tRNA from 2 species
GCCCGGUUAGCUCAGAUGGUUGAGCAUCAGACUUUUAAUCUGAGGGUCAUGGGUUCGAGCCCCAUAUCGGGCG